GAUGAACGCUGGCGGCGUGCUUAAUACAUGCAGGUCGAGCGAAGCACUUUAACGGAAUUCUCCGGAAGGAAGGUAAAGUGACUGAGCGGCGGACGGGUGAGUAACGCGUGGUAACCUGCCUUAUACAGGGGGAUAACAGUUAGAAAUGGCUGCUAAUACCGCAUAAGCGCACAGGGCCGCAUGGCCCGGUGUGAAAAACUCCGGUGGUAUAAGAUGGACCCGCGUCUGAUUAGCUGGUUGGUGGGGUAACGGCCCACCAAGGCGACGAUCAGUAGCCGGCCUGAGAGGGUGAUCGGCCACAUUGGAACUGAGACACGGUCCAA
rnacentral:rRNA from 1 species